UCUCAGUUCGGACUGUAGUCUGCAACCCGACUACACGAAGCUGGAAUCGCUAGUAAUCGCGGAUCAGAAUGCCGCGGUGAAUACGUUCCCGGGUCUUGUACACACCGCCCGUCACACCAUGGGAGUCGGUAACGCCCGAAGCCAGUGACCCAACCUUAGGGAGGGAGCUGUCGAAGGCGGGACGGAUAACUGGGGUGAAGUCGUAACAAGGUAAC
rnacentral:rRNA from 1 species